rnacentral:rRNA from 1 species
UUCCAGACUCCUACGGGAGGCAGCAGUGAGGAAUAUUGGUCAAUGGGCGCGAGCCUGAACCAGCCAAGUCGCGUGAGGGAAGACGGUCCUAUGGAUUGUAAACCUCUUUUGUCGGGGAGCAAAAGACGCCACGCGUGGCGUUCCGAGAGUACCCGAAGAAAAAGCAUCGGCUAACUCCGUGCCAGCAGCCGCGGUAAUACGUAGGUGGCAAGCGUUGUCCGGAAUUACUGGGUGUAAAGGGAGCGCAGGCGGGAAGCCAAGUCAGCUGUGAAAACUACGGGCUUAACUUGUAGACUGCAGUUGAAACUGGUUUUCUUGAGUGAAGUAGAGGUUGGCGGAAUUCCGAGUGUAGCGGUGAAAUGCGUAGAUAUUCGGAGGAACACCGGUGGCGAAGGCGGCCAACUGGGCUUUAACUGACGCUGAGGCUCGAAAGUGUGGGGAGCAAACAGGAUUAGAUACCCGAGUA